rnacentral:lncRNA from 1 species
AUAGGGGAGGGUCCAAUGGUGGGGGGGGUCUCAUUGUCCCCAUGGGGGGGUCCCUGUUCCCCCCCCCCCAGGUGGAGUUCCAUCUGUGUAUCCGUGUGGGGGGCACCGUCAGUUCCUGCAGCCAUGGCCAGGAGAGCGCAUGGGUCCUGGAUGGGCUGCGGCUGCGGGUUCAGAGCCGACACUUCAUGCGGGAUCCGCUGCCCCCCCCCUGCACCCUCCUUCACCCCAUAGCUGCCCCCGCCGUGGGGCUGCGGCUGCCCCAUAGCGCGGCCGCUAUGGGGCUGGGGGGGGAGCUGAGCGCCGUCCCCAUUGCGGCUCUAUGUCCUUGUCUGAGACCCCUCCCCAACCUGCCCACCCACCUCAGCUCCGUCGCCAUAUCCCAGCACCCAUGGGGGCUAUGGGGGGGUCUAUGGGGCACCCAUGGGGGGAUAUGGGGUCUAUGGGGGCACCCAUGGGGGCUAUGGGGGGCUAUGGGGUCUAUGGGGGCUAUGGGGGGGUCUAUAUCCGAGGGUCCGGGCCUUUACUCACGAGAGGGGCACGAUGAUGAGGAAGGGGCCGUUGAUGCGCUUGUGCUC